CCCUACUGAAUCAUUUUGUACUUCCUUUUUUUAAUUUCCUUCUGUUAUUUUUACACAUUAGAAUCUACAGUACUGACUACUAUGAACCCAGCCCAGAUAAUUACGGUAGCUUAAAGACCAGUGAGACCUGAAAGCCAGAACAUUGAAUGUGUCUUGCAGUUUAAGAGGAGAGGAGAAGCAGCGCCUGCUCUGGAAAUGACUAUGCAUACAGUUAUCCUGGGUCAUAUGAUUUACUAGGGAAAAUAGUUCUUUUGCUUACUUAAAUUCAAUAUUCCCUUGAAUCAA